UACAGAGGUCUCAAGCGUUGUUCGGAUUCAUUGGGCGUAAAGGGUGUGUAGGUGGCGCGCUAAGUCGGGUGUGAAAUUUCGGAGCUUAACUCCGAAACUGCAUUCGAUACUGGCGUGCUUGAGGACUGGAGAGGAGACUGGAAUUCAUGGUGUAGCAGUGAAAUGCGUAGAUAUCAUAAGGAAGACCAGUGGCGAAGGCGGGUCUCUGGACAGUUCCUGACGCUGAGGCACGAAGGUCAGGGGAGCAAACGGG
rnacentral:rRNA from 1 species